GACGAACGCUGGCGGCGUGCUUAACACAUGCAAGUCGAACGGAAAGGCCCUUCGGGGUACUCGAGUGGCGAACGGGUGAGUAACACGUGGGUGAUCUGCCCUGCACUUCGGGAUAAGCCUGGGAAACUGGGUCUAAUACCGGAUAGGACCACGGUCUGCAUGGACUGUGGUGGAAAGCUUUUGCGGUGUGGGAUGGGCCCGCGGCCUAUCAGCUUGUUGGUGGGGUGAUGGCCUACCAAGGCGACGACGGGUAGCCGGCCUGAGAGGGUGACCGGCCACACUGGGACUGAGAUACGGCCCAGACUCCUACGGGAGGCAGCAGUGGGGAAUAUUGCACAAUGGGCGCAAGCCUGAUGCAGCGACGCCGCGUGGGGGAUGACGGCCUUCGGGUUGUAAACCUCUUUCAGUAGGGACGAAGCGCAAGUGACGGUACCUAUAGAAGAAGCACCGGCCAACUACGUG
rnacentral:rRNA from 1 species